ACAAGGACGAUGAAGAGGCAGCUGUGCUUUCUGCUAGGGCUGCUGUGCACCCAGAUUUGCUGGGUGAAAGGGCAGCAAGUGAAGCAGAGUCCUGAGUCCUUGGUUCUGCAGGAGGGAGAGAGCACAGAGCUGCAGUGCAACUUUUCCACCGUGGCAACCCAAAUGCAGUGGUUUCACCAAAGUCCUGGGGGACACCUCAUCAGCCUGAUUUACAAUCCUUCUGGAACAAAGCAGAGUGGAAGACUGACGUCCACGACAGUAGCUAACGAAUAUCGCAGCUCUUUGUACAUUUCCUCCUGCCAGACCACAGACACAGGCACUUAUUUCUGUGCGAUAGAUACACAGUGCUCCACUCACACCUGCAGCCAGCACACAAACCUUCAGCUGGAUGGAUACCAGAUUUGCAACACCAUCCGACACAUCCCUGCAGCCCAAGGACCACUCCUCUGUGGGGAGGAGCAGUAG